AGCUUAACACUACAAUGGGAGAAUUGGAGCCAAUGAGGCUAAUCUCAGGUGUGACUAUUGCUAAUUGAAAACUUUUCCCAGUAUCCCUGGUGAGGACUUGGAAUGUAGUCAGGUUUGGCAAGCUUUGACAGACUCUAAGAAGG
rnacentral:snRNA from 14 species